rnacentral:rRNA from 1 species
UACGUAGGGGGCUAGCGUUGUCCGGAUUUAUUGGGCGUAAAGAGCGUGUAGGCGGCCAGAUAGGUCUGCUGUGAAAACUCGAGGCUCAACCUCGAGCUGUCGGCGGAAACCAUUUGGCUAGAGUCCGGAAGAGGAGAGUGGAAUUCCUGGUGUAGCGGUGAAAUGCGCAGAUAUCAGGAGGAACACCAAUAGCGAAGGCAGCUCGCUGGGACGUUACUGACACUGAGGCGCGAAAGCGUGGGGAGCGAACAGG